rnacentral:rRNA from 1 species
UCAUUCCGCGUGCAGGACGAAGGCCCUCGGGUUGUAAACUGCUUUUGUACGGAACGAAAAAGCCUUGGUUAAUACCCAGAGUCCAUGACGGUACCGUAAGAAUAAGCACCGGCUAACUACGUGCCAGCAGCCGCGGUAAUACGUAGGGUGCAAGCGUUAAUCGGAAUUACUGGGCGUAAAGCGUGCGCAGGCGGUUAUAUAAGACAGACGUGAAAUCCCCGAGCUUAACUUGGGAACUGCAUUUGUGACUGUAUAGCUAGAGUACGGCAGAGGGGGAUGGAAUUCCGCGUGUAGCAGUGAAAUGCGUAGAUAUGCGGAGGAACACCGAUGGCGAAGGCAAUCCCCUGGGCCUGUACUGACGCUCAUGCACGAAAGCGUGGGGAGCAAACAGGAUUAGAUACCCUGGUAGUCCAAGCCCUAAACGAUGUCAACUGGUUGUUGGGUCUUCACUGACUCAGUAACGAAGCUAAACGCGUGAAGUUGACCGCCUGAGGAGUACAGACAGCACGUUGAAACUCAAA